AUUAACAGAAGACGUCAAACAGCUGAAAAAGUGCUGCAGUGAUGCCGACACCCAGUGUGACGACUUCCAAAGACAACUGCAACAGAGCCAGGAGGAUGAAGAUCGUCUGCAUCAGCAGCUGAAUGACAAAGACGCCAAGCUCAAACAUGUGGAGCAGGAGUUAGAAGAACGCACUAAAGAGAAUAAUCAGCUGCAGCAGGAACACAGCGAUCUGCAGAAGAAACUGCAACUGAAAAGUGAGGAGUGUUCUGGAUCUAAGGACAAAUAUGAGCAGGUAAAAACUGAAUAUGAGCAGAAGAUUGCUGAAUUGAACAGAACUGGAGACUCCACAGCAGCACUCAUUCUGGAUGUGGUAAAGCUGCAUGAUGAGGUGAAGGUUUUGAGGGAAGAGAUCUCCAACUCAGAAGACAAAGACGUGAUCUCAGAGCUCCAAAGGCAACUGGAGAAGAAGCAAAAAGAUCUGGACUCCAAGACUGCAGACAUAGAGAGACUGACUGCCAAUCCAAGAAUGGUUUUAACAAUCAUUGAGCUGCAAGAUGAGAUCUGGGACCUUCAGAGGAAAGAUGUCAAUGGGACCACAAGUGGUGAUGUAAAAA
ensembl:lncRNA